AACUAUACCAGAGAAUAUGAUUUCUAUCUCGUUUUCCAACCACAUUAAUGUAACAGAUAGAUCAUUGUCAGUCAGAGAUAACAUGAUCUGAGGUUGUUAAUGUCAAAGAACCAUCUCAACCCAAAAGCUUAAGCUGUUAGUAUACAUUAAUAAAGCAAUAAUAAAUAUGAUUCCAAGUGACUGACCUUAGCCAAACCAAAAACUAUACCAGAGAAUAUGAUUUCUAUCUCGUUUUCCAACCACAUUAAUGUAACAGAUAGAUCAUUGUCAGUCAGAGAUAACAUGAUCUGAGGUUGUUAAACUAAACAAAAGUUUGUGUGUGACUAUGCAUAUGAUUCACGCAACAGUAAAGUAAAGCCAAUUACUCAAUCCCAAUUAAUUUGAGCACUAAAACAAAAGGAGAGAUCUUAAACAUCAAAAUCUACAAAUGUAUAUU
rnacentral:lncRNA from 1 species